rnacentral:ncRNA from 1 species
CCUUUGCCGAAGGGGAGUCCCGUGGAGCGGGGCUGAGAGGCCGGAAUACGCCCCGGCGACCCUUGGAACCUGAUCCGGGUCAUUCCGGCGAAGGGAUCGGAACCUUCGUUCCC